ACCUUGACGGCCAUUUUCCACGCGCUUUUGAGUUCACCAAACCCCCCCAAGUAUUCAACUGUGUCUUGUAAAUUGUAAUCUCGAAUACGAUUAUUGAGCGGUGUGCCAAAUGCCGACUUACCGGAUUAUUGGUCAUUGAAAACCGAUCUUCGCGUUGAAAACACCUACAUUUUUUGAGUUUCGAUCAAUAUUUCUUCUUGACGCUGUUUUUUUUACACCGUUAACAGAUACAAUUUAAUAUAUUAUUUACUGGAUAUCGUAAACAAUGUCUUCAAACGAUAUGAAUGAUAGUGCAAACGGAGACCUGACUUCAGAACCAAAACCUAAUGAAUAUGUAUCGGCCCUAGUCAAAGAAAAAUAUGCCUUGGACGUGGAGUCUCAUCCAAAUGCAAUGAAACUCAUAGACAACGAAAUUUCCAGAGCGCAGACAACCAAUGCAAAACCUGAAGCUGCCUACUUAGAUAUAAACAGUGACAAACCAAUUCGGCUUACAGCUAAAAUUAUGGUUCCAGCUAAAGAAUUUCCCAGGUUUAACUUUGUCGGAAAAUUAUUAGGACCAAAAGGAAAUUCAUUAAAACGUUUACAAGAAGAUACAAUGACUAAAAUGGCAAUAUUAGGGAAAGGAUCAAUGCGCAAUAAAGAAAAGGAAGAUGAAAUGAGGAGUUCAUUAAAUCCAAAAUUUUCUCACUUAGCUGAUGAGCUUCAUGUUCAAGUGACUGCUUAUGCACCGCCAGCUGAAGCAUAUGCACGACUUGCAUAUGCUCUUGCUGAACUUCGAAAAUUUUUGAUACCUGACCACAAUGAUCAAAUAGCACAAGAACAAGCACGUGAAAUGCAACAAUUUGGAGGCGCUCCUCCUGUCCGCCAUCCUGGACCAAUAAUCCACGCUCCACCUCCCCCACCAGUCAUUCGCGCUAUGCCCCCUCAGGCAGUAAGAAUGCCCAGAGCACCAGUUCCAGGAAAAGCCAAAGUACUAAGUAUUUUAGAUCGAGCUCGUUCAGCUAUGGAAGGAACCAACGCUUACCCUGGAAAUGGUGGUUAUGGAGAUUCGGCGUCUUAUUCCCACUAUGAUUCUGGUUAUGGCGGUGUUGCGACUUAUAAUGGGGGUGGCAAUGACGAAUAUUAUUCAGGAAAUUCAUUUGCCCAAGAUGUUAAUCCAUCGUCGGGAGGUCGUGGAUGGAAAAACUACAGCACAGGAGGUGGUGGUGGCGGCGGUAGUGGACCGUCCAAACAGGCGGGAAACCAAGGGGGACGAUAUGGCGGUCGCAAUGCUCCUUAUUCCAGACAGAAAUAAUCAGGCGUAUAAUCGUGAAAUUAAUUACCUAAAAUAAUUUCCAGCUUUGAAAAUCAAUAUAUAAGAAGAGAAGAGUAUUUAAAUGUGUUUUAAAUAUUGUGUCGAGAUCAUCGAUUUUAGUUUUGGAACUUAUUCAAGACUAAUAUUUAAUUUAACUAAAAACCAAAUAGUGAGGUUUAAUGUAAAAUUCAAUAUUUGAAAGUGAUAAAUACUAUUUAUUUUAGUUACAAACGUUAAAUAACUUAUUUGUGGUAAGUUGUUAAAAAACUAUAACAUUGUUUACUCAAAAAUGUAUUUCAUGAACAAACCAUUAAAAAAAAAAAAUGUGCGUUAUCUUUCGCAUCUGUAAUGAUUUUGUGGAGGGCACACAUUUGAAAGAAUAAAAAAAAUAAAAUCAGGAUUGUUCCAAUGUGAUACAACAGUUGACUUCUAUAAGAACAUACAAUGAUCUAUGUUGUGAAAAUGUUUGUAUACAAUUUAUUUGAUCUCACAAUUUCACUAGUAAUGAACUAAUAUACUAAAUCAAGACUGACAUUUUAACAGUUAUUAAACUGUUUUUUUUUACUUUGUAUUGUUUUAAUUUUUGUAAAUAAAUAAAAACUUAUUUAGAAA